GGUUAAAAAGCUCGUAGUUGGAUUUCUGCUUACCAUCGACCGGUUUGUGCGUUGCACAUGAUUUGGUUCGAUGUGGGCAUCCUCCUGGGGAACGCCACUGUCCUUAAUUGCGGCAGGGUGUAAUUCAGGACUUUUACUAUGAGGAAAUUAGAGUGUUCACGGCAAGCAAUUGCUUGAAUACAUUAGCAUGGAAUAAUAAUAUAGGACCUUGGUUCUAUUUUGUUGGUUUCUAGAACUAAGGUAAUGAUUAAUAGGGACAAUUGGGGGCAUUCGUAUUGACGCGUCAGAGGUGGAAUUCUUAGAUUGCGUCACGACGAACUACUGCGAAAGCAUUUGCCAAGGAUGUUUUCAUUGAUCAAGAACGAAGGUAUGGGGAUCAAAGACGAUUAGAUACCGUCGUAGUCUAUACCAUAAACUAUGCCAACUAGGGAUUGGAGGUAGUUCGAUUUUUGUCUCCUUCAGCAUCUUAUGAGAAAUCAAAGUUUUUGGGUUCCGGGGGGAGUAUGGUCGCAAGGCUGAAACUUAAAGGAAUUGACGGAAGGGCACCACCAGGAGUGGAGCCUGC
rnacentral:rRNA from 1 species